UACAGAGGUGGCAAGCGUUGUUCGGAAUUACCGGGCGUAAAGGGCGCGUAGGCGGCCAUCUAAGUCAGACGUGAAAUCCCCCGGCUUAACCUGGGAACUGCGUCUGAUACUGGAAGGCUUGAGUAUGGGAGAGGGAUGUAGAAUUCCAGGUGUAGCGGUGAAAUGCGUAGAUAUCUGGAGGAAUACCGGUGGCGAAGGCGGCAUCCUGGACCAUUACUGACGCUGAGGCGCGAAAGCUAGGGGAGCAAACGGG
rnacentral:rRNA from 1 species